CACGUAGGGCGCAAGCGUUGUCCGGAAUUAUUGGGUGUAAAGAGCUCGUAGGCGGUCUGUUGCGUCUGCUGUGAAAACUCGGGGCUUAACCCCGAGCCUGCAGUGGAUACGGGCAGACUAGAGGUAGGUAGGGGAGAAUGGAAUUCCCGGUGUAGCGGUGAAAUGCGCAGAUAUCGGGAGGAACACCGGUGGCGAAGGCGGUUCUCUGGGCCUUACCUGACGCUGAGGAGCGAAAGCGUGGGGAGCGAACAGG
rnacentral:rRNA from 1 species